GAUGAACGCUGGCGGCGUGCCUAAUACAUGCAAGUCGAGCGAACAGACGAGGAGCUUGCUCCUCUGACGUUAGCGGCGGACGGGUGAGUAACACGUGGAUAACCUACCUAUAAGACUGGGAUAACUUCGGGAAGCCGGAGCUAAUACCGGAUAAUAUAUUGAACCGCAUGGUUCAAUAGUGAAAGACGGUUUUGCUGUCACUUAUAGAUGGAUCCGCGCCGCAUUAGCUAGUUGGUAAGGUAACGGCUUACCAAGGCGACGAUGCGUAGCCGACCUGAGAGGGUGAUCGGCCACACUGGAACUGAGACACGGUCCAGACUCCUACGGGAGGCAGCAGUAGGGAAUCUUCCGCAAUGGGCGAAAGCCUGACGGAGCAACGCCGCGUGAGUGAUGAAGGUCUUCGGAUCGUAAAAAUCUGUUAUUAGGGAAGAACAAAUGUGUAAGUAACUAUGCACGUCUUGACGGUACCUAAUCAGAAAGCCACGGCUAACUACGUG
rnacentral:rRNA from 1 species